rnacentral:piRNA from 1 species
UUCUCUGCAGAAAAUGAGUUGAUAGUAC